GGAGGCGCUGGCGCGGCAGGGAGUCCUCCUUCCCACAGCGGAAGAGGUCGGCAACACGGUCGAUCUGGCCGCCGUGUUCCAGCCGCUCCGCCUCCUC
rnacentral:tRNA from 1 species